rnacentral:rRNA from 1 species
CCUACGGGGGGCAGCAGUGAGGAAUAUUGGUCAAUGGACGAGAGUCUGAACCAGCCAAGUAGCGUGAAGGAUGACUGCCCUAUGGGUUGUAAACUUCUUUUAUAAAGGAAUAAAACGAGGCACGUGUGCCUUUUUGCAUGUACUUUAUGAAUAAGGAUCGGCUAACUCCGUGCCAGCAGCCGCGGUAAUACGGAGGAUCCGAGCGUUAUCCGGAUUUAUUGGGUUUAAAGGGAGCGUAGAUGGGUUGUUAAGUCAGUUGUGAAAGGUUGCGGCUCAACCGUAAAAUUGCAAUUGAUACUGGCAGUCUUGAGUACAGGUGAGGUAGGCGGAAUUCGUGGUGUAGCGGUGAAAUGCUUAGAUAUCACGAAGAACCCCGAUUGCGAAGGCAGCUUACUAAACUGUGACUGACAUUGAUGCUCGAAAGUGUGGGUAUCAAACAGGAUUAGAUACCCUAGUAGUC